GUGGGAGCUGGGAAUGUUUUUGAACUAGUUCUUGAAAAAAAAACUAGUACAAUAGUACAACUGUCUUAAUUUUAUAUAUGAGGAAACUGAGGCCCAGAGAUGAAAUCAUGCCUUGAUUUAUGCAGACCUCAGUACCUGUUCGUGACAAAUCCAGUUACUAAAAGGGUCUUACUAUGUCACCCAGACUGAAGUGCAGUGGCAUGAUCACAGGUCAUUGCAUCCUCAACCACCCAGACUCAAGCAAUCCUCCUGUCUCAGCCUUCCAAGUAACUGAGACCACAGACAAAGCCUCACUCUGUCACCCAGACUGGAGUGCAGUGGUAUAAUCAUAGCUCACUACAGCCUUGACCUCCUGAGCUCAAGCAGUCCUCCUGUCUCAGCCUCCCAAGUAGCUGGGAUGACAGUGUGCACCACCACACCCAGCUAAUUUUUUUUUUUUUGGUCUUGCUGUGUUGCCCGGGCUGGACUCAAGUGAUCUUCCCUUCUCAGCCUCUCAAAGUGCUGGAAUUACAGGCAUGAGCCACCGUGCCCAGCCAGAGAAAUAACCAUGGAUAUGGGUAGAGACAGAGCCAUAUGGAAUGCACACUGCAGUGGUGAACACAUGGCCCAGCUCUGCCAUCAAGGAGAAGGAACAUGAAUGGAGCUGGAGGCCAUCAUCCUUAGUGAACUAACACAGGAGCAGAAAACCAAAUACCACAUGUUCUCAUGUGUAAGUGGGAGCUAAAUGAUGAGAACACAUGGACACAAAGAGGGGAACAACAGACACUGAAGCCUCCUUGAGGGAGGAGGGUAAGAGGAAGGAGAAGAUCAGAAAAGAUAACUACCAGGUACUAUGGUAGCUUAGUACCUGGGUGAUGAAAUAAUCUGUACACCCAACCCUCAUGACAGAAGUUUACCUGUGUAACAAACCUGCACAUGUAUCCCUGAAACUAAAAGUUUUUUAAAAAGUUAUUUAAUAUAUAUAUAUUUUUUUGAGACGGAGUUUUGCUCUUGUUGCCCAGGCUGGAGUGCGGUGGCGCAAUUUCGGCUCACCACAACCUCCGCCUCCCAGGUUCAAGCUAUUCCCCUGCCUCAGCCUCCCUAGUAGCUGGGAUUACAGGCUUGUGCCACCACGCCGGCUAAUUUUGUAUUUUUUGUAGAGACGGGGUUUCUCCAUGUUGGUCAGGCUGGUCUCGAACUCCCGACCUCAGGUGAUCCACCCCCCUCGGCCUCCCAAAGUGCUAGGAUUACAGGCAUGAGCCACUGCGCCCGGCAAAAAGUUAUUUAAUAUUAAUGGGACAAUACUCAUUGCAAGAAUCAGACUUCAAUUGCUAGCAUAAGUAAAUGACAGGCAGGAGAUAUUGAAAAUGCAAUCUUAUAGACAUUCAAGGAGAGGACGCAGGACAUUUCUGUGUCAUAAAUGUACUAUGGAAAAUAAAAAUGAGAAAAAUGGAAAUAAAAUACAAGAAAAGGUUAUGAUAAAUUUCAUAUUAUUUUACCACAAUAAAAAAAUUUUAAUAAAUUAUAAAUGGUGUGAUAUGUUUUGCCUGUGUUCCACCCAAAUCUCAUCUUGAAUUAGAGCUCCCACAAUUCCCACGUGUUGUGGCUGGGACCCUGUGGGAGAUAAUUGAAUCAUGGGGGCAGUUUACCCCAUACUGUUCUCUUGGUGGUGAAUAAGUCUCAUGAGAGUUGAUGGUUUGAUAAGGGGUUUCCCCUUUUGCUUGGCUCUCAUUCUCUCUUGACUGCCACCAUGUAAGAUGUGCCUUUUGCCUUCCACCAUGAUUGUGAAGCCUCCCAGCCACAUGGAACUGUGAGUCCAUUAAACCUUUUUCUUUACAAAUUACCCAGUCUCGAGUAUGUCUUUAUCAGCAGUGAGAGAACAGACUAAUAUGAGUGUGAUCUAAUUAACAUAAAGGGAGAAUGAGGACUAUUGACACCAAAAUAUGAGAUUGGGAUUACAGCUCGUUUUUAUUUUCUUUUUCUGUUUAUCUUUCCAGUUUUCUAAGAUGAAUGUUUCAUAAUCAGAAAACAAAAUUAAAUGUUUCCAGCCCCACAAAAAAUAACCAGUAUUUUACUUUUUUUUUUUUUUUUUUUUUUUCCGAGAUGAACUCUCACUUUAUCUCCCAGGCUAGAGUGCAGUGGUGCAAUCACGACUCACUGCAACCUCCGCCUCCCAGGCUGAAGUGAUCCUCCCACCUCAGCCUCCUGAGUAGCUGAGACUGCAGGAAUGCACCACCACGCCAGGCUAGUUUUUUUAUCUUUUUUGGUAGAGACGGUGUUUCAACAUGUUGCCCAGGCUGGUCUCAAACUCCUGGACUCAAGCAGUUCACCUGCCUCAGCCUCCCAAAGUGUUGGGAUUACAGGCAUGAGCCACCGUGCCCAGCCAUUUACUUUUAAUCUUAGUAAUUUAUACAGAACCAGUUGUCUGGUGUUGUGGUCUCUCCCUACUCUGAGUUGACUGGAUGGUUGUGUAGAUUGGGCUUGGGCACACUGGGUGGAGCCCAGAGCAAGGUGAACCACCUGGAGGCUCCCGUGCCUCAAUCCUGCAGCAGGCACAGGCACGGGACUUUGUUGACAGUGAAAAAGUGCUUGUUGCAGAGAGCCUGAAACAGACGCAAACUCGGGGAAGUGACAGUUACAUGCGCAAAGAGACCUGAAGGAAUCUGUAAGUAUCACCAGCUAACAAGCGACACAGCUCUACCUGUACAUCCUACUUCAGUGCCUUAAUAUAAAGAAAACAAAUACUUCACAAUCAAAUAAUUUGCUGCAAUGUAAAGAAAUUUGUGAAAAUGGUAUAUACUAUGUGGAAUCUAUAUGUCCCCAGAGAUGAGACUGGAAAGACAGUUAUCAUGAAACCAGUCUUUGGCCUUUGGCGGUUUCCAGUUUUUCCACACUUUCAAACACGAGUCCACGUGAGCCAGCCGCAGCCAUUUCAGGAUCAUGUGAAAGGGAUCAUCAUCCCUGGACUCUAGGAAAUUGAGGUGUGGGAAAGGUGAAGGAACUGGCCCUAGGGUGUUGUAUGCAAGUUGGAAGCAAAGAGACAGCUAAGACCACAUCUCCUGAUUCCCAGUCCAAGGCACUUUUAAUGACCUACAAUGCCUGGAAGGAAAGGUGGUAAGAAAUGAUAGGAAAAAGCCUAAGAGCUAAGCUAAAGGAAAGAGGCUGGGAGCACUGACUCAUGCCUGUAAUCCUGGCAUUUUAGGAGGCAAGGCAGGAGGACGGCUUGAGCCUAGGAGUUUGAGGCUACAGAGAGCCAUGAUCACACCACUGAACUCCAGCAUGGGCAACAGAACAAGACCCCAACUCUAAAAAAAAAAAAAAAAAAAAAGUAAAAAGGAAUACUCUAUUGGGAUAAUGAUAAGGGUAAUUUUCCCAUUUCCUCAGCAUAGUGCCCUCUGAAGAUGUGUUCUACAAGAUGGGGGGCAGAGGCACAUACCCCAGGAUGAGAUGGUUUACUAGGAGGUAAAAUAAAACCUUCUAUGGUUCAUUUUGUCGCAAAACGGAGAAUGACUUGGUACCCUCACAUCGUACUACAUUAGACAGCCCAUGGAUCAGGAAUGAUCCAUGUGGUGCCCUGAAUUGGGUGUGAGGGCACCAUAGUGAGAAGGAUGUAGGGCCCACAUGCAUUAGUUUGCACAGACAGGGGUUUACAAGUACCUAAUUAACAUUUUUUUUUUUUUUUUUUUUUUUUUUGUGACACAGAGUCUCACUCUGUUGCCCAGGCUGGAGUGCAGUGGCGCAAUCUCGGCUCACUGCAAGCUCCGCCUCCUGGGCUCAAGCGAUUCUCCUGCCUCAGCAUCCCAAGUAGCUGGGACUACAGGUGCCCACCACCACACCCGGCUAAUUUUGUUUUUGUGUUUUUAGUAAAGACAGGGUUUCACCGUGUUAGCUAGGACGGUCUUGAUCUCCUGACCUCGUGAUCCGCCUGCCUCAGCGUCCCAAAGGGCUGGGAUUACAGGUGUGAGCCACCGCGACCAGCCAAUAUGAAUUAUCUUACAUAGCUUUACUAAACCCUUAGUCAAGUGCAAGGUAAACAUAAUGGCAAUAUAAUUGAUUCUAACAAGAAGGAACCAAACAAAAAAAUUUUUUUUAGACAGAGUCUUGCUCUGUUGCCCAGGCUGGAGUGCAGUGGCAUAAUCACAGCUCACUGUGGCCACAAACUCCUGAGUUCAAGCCAUCGUCCCACCUCAACCUCUCAAGUAGCUGGGACCACAGGCACACACUACUAUGCUUGGCUAAUUUUUAAAUUUUUUGUAGAGAGGGGGUGUCCCUACCUUGCCCAGGCUGGUUUUGAACUCCUGUGCUUAAGCAAUCCUCCCACCUUAACCUGCCAAAUUGUUGGGAUUACAGGCGUGAGCCACCACACUCAGCCAAAAACUUUUUUUUGGGGGGGUGGGGGGGACGGGGUCUCCCUCUGUUGCCCAGACUGGAGUGCAGUGGCACAAUCUUGGAUCACUGCAGCCUCAAACUCCCUGAGCUCAAGUGAUCCUCCCACCUCAGCCUCCCAAGUAGCUGGGACUAAAGGCACAUGCCACUAUGCCUGGCUAAUUUUUGUAUUUUUUGGAGAGACAGGGUCUGGCCAUUUUGCCCACACUGGUAUUGAACUCCUGGGCUCAGGUGAUCCACCCGCCUCAGCCUCCCAAAGUGCUAGGAUUACAGGCAUGGGCCACUGUGCUCAACCAAAAAUAAUUUUUUAAUUAUCAAGAACAUUUGAAAUAUAAAAUUAUAUCCUGUAUUUUUUUGUUGUUGUUGUUAAUUGAGACAGGGUCUUGCUCUGUGGCCCAGGCUGGAGUGCAGUGGUACAAUCAUAGCUCACUGCAGCCUCGAACUCCUGGGCUCCAAGGAUCCUCCUGCCUCAGCCUCUCAAGUAGCUGGGACUACAGGAAUGCACCACCGUGUCUAGCUAACUUUAAUUAUUUUGCUUUUGUAGAGACAGGAUCUGGCUAUGUUGACCAGCCUGGUUUCCAACUCCUGGCCUCAAGCAAUCCUCCUGCCUCAGCCUCCCAAAGUGUUGGGAUGAUAGGCAUGAGUCACUGUGCCUUCCAAUCCUCUUGUUUUGUUUUGUUUUGUUUUGUUUUGUUUUGUUUUGUUUUGUUUUGUUGAGACAGGGUUUCACCAUGUUGCCCAGGCUGGUCUUGAACUCCUGGACUCACGCAAUCCUCCCACCUUGGCCUCCCAAAGUACUAGGAUUACAGGCGUGAGCCACGAUUCCCGGCCAAUCCUCUGUUUUUAAUAGUGAACUCGCCCUGGUGAAUAAUAUAACUUAAGAUGUUAGCUAAUCAUAGUAGUGUGUAUGUAUAAUUUAAAACUAUA
rnacentral:lncRNA from 1 species